rnacentral:tRNA from 1 species
GGGGCUAUAGCUCAGCUGGGAGAGCGCUUGCAUGGCAUGCAAGAGGUCAGCGGUUCAUUCCCGCUUAGCUCCACCA